rnacentral:rRNA from 1 species
GACGAACGCUGGCGGUGUGCUUAACACAUGCAAGUCGAACGGAAACGCACUUCGGGCUUCUUGAGUGGCGAACCGGUUAGUAAAACGUUGGUGAAUUGCCCUGCACUUUGGGAUAAGCAUGGGAAAACGUGUCUAAAACCGCCUUGGACCCCGAGCUUAAUUGCGUGUGGUGGAAAGCUUUUGUCGUGUGGGAUAGGCUCGCGGGCUAUCAUCUAGUUAGUGGGGUAUUGGCCUACCAAGGCGCCGGAGGGUAGCCGGCCUGAGAGGGUGGCCGGCCACACUGGGACUGAGGGAGGGCCCAGACUCCAACGGGAGGCAGCAGUGGGGAGUGUUGUACAAUGGGCGCGAGCCUGAUGCAGCGACCCCGGGUGCGGGAAGACUGCCUUCGGGUUGUGAACAUCUUUCAGUAAGGACGGAGCGCAAGUGACGGUACCUAUAGAAGAAGCACCGGCCAACUACGUG